AUGUAACUGCUAAGAUAUCAGCUAAAAUUUGUUAGGAAUUGACAGAAUUGUUAAGAAUUUUGUCUCUGCUACACUGGAAUGGACAUAAGUGACUGACGAGUUUAGAGACAUCUCCCUGAUUUACAGGAACUGGAAGCUGGGCUGGUUGAAGAUUGAUGCUGUCCUGAUAAUGAGUGAAUGACAACAGGACAAUCUGCCUGGGACUCCAACAGUGAACACAGAAAAGGGCCUGAUGCACUGCUCACACUUCCCUUAGGUGUGGCUGAUGUUCCUCACUUUUCCCUGAGAUUUUUGCAGAAGUUCCUGUGAUGGUUGACAACUACCAUUUGCUUCUCCGGAUAAGCACCAUAGGCAGAAAAAAAUAAGUACUCUGGAUCCCUGAAUUCUGA
rnacentral:lncRNA from 1 species